GAUGAACGCUGGCGGCGUGCCUAAUACAUGCAAGUCGAGCGAACGGAUGAGAAGCUUGCUCCUCUGAUGUUACCGGCGGACGGGUGAGUAAUACGUGGAUCACCUUCCUAUAAGACUGGGAUACCUUCGGGAAAUUGUAGCUAAAUCAGGCUAAUAUUUUGAACCGCAUGGUUCAAAAGUGAUAGACGGACUUGCUGUCCCUUCUAGAUGGAUCCGCGCUGCAUUAGCUAGUUGGUAAGGUAACGGCUUACCAAGGCAACGAUGCAUAGCCGACCUGAGAUGGUAAUCGGCCACACUAGAACUGAAACGCGGUCCAGACUCCUACGGGAGGCAGGAGUGGAGAGUCUUCCACAAUGGGCUGAGGCCGGACGGGGCAACGCCGCGUGAGUGGUAGAGGGCUUCGGAUCUGAGAACUCUAUUAUUAGUGAAGAACAUAUAUGUAAGUAACUGUUCGCGUCUUGACGGUACCUAAUCAGAAAGCCACGGCUAACUACGUG
rnacentral:rRNA from 1 species